CCUACGGGUGGCAGCAGUGGGGAAUAUUGCACAAUGGGGGAAACCCUGAUGCAGCGACGCCGCGUGGGGGAAUGAAGGUCUUCGGAUUGUAAACCCCUGUCAUGUGGGAGCAAAUUAAAAAGAUAGUACCACAAGAGGAAGAGACGGCUAACUCUGUGCCAGCAGCCGCGGUAAUACAGAGGUCUCAAGCGUUGUUCGGAAUCACUGGGCGUAAGGCGUGCGUAGGCUGUUUCGUAAGUCGUGUGUGAAAGGCGCGGGCUCAACCCGCGGACGGCACAUGAUACUGCGAGACUAGAGUAAUGGAGGGGGAACCGGAAUUCUCGGGGUAGCAGUGAAAUGCGUAGAUAUCGAGAGGAACACUCGUGGCGAAGGCGUGUUCCUGGACAUUAACUGACGCUGAGGCACGAAGGCCAGGGGAGCGAAAGGGAUUAGAUACCCCUGUAGUC
rnacentral:rRNA from 1 species